AUAAGAAGAAGAAAAAACAAA
rnacentral:sRNA from 1 species